GGCCACUCGCGGAGGCCUCCUGAAUGGCCUGCAGGAGCUGCUGGUGCUGCUGCUGUACCUGUUGCUGUUGCAACUGUUGUUGCUGCUGCUGCUGCUGCACCUGUUGCUGUUGCAACUGUUGCUGCACCUGCACCUGCUGCUG
rnacentral:sRNA from 1 species